rnacentral:rRNA from 1 species
AGGAUGAACGCUGGCGGCGUGCCUAACACAUGCAAGUCGAACGUCCUGUCUCGCAAGAGGCAGGGAGUGGCGGACGGGUGAGUACCACGUGGGUCAUCUACCGUGAGGUGAGGAAUACCGGCGAGAAAUCGCCGACAAGACCGCAUAGGCUCGAUGCAAGUCGAGCAAAGCUCUUUCGAGAGAGGGAGCGCCACACGAGGAGCCUGCGCCCGAUUAGCUAGCUGGUGGAGUAACGGUUCACCAGGGCGACGAUCGGUAGCUGGUCUGAGAGGACGAUCAGCCACACUGGGAUUGAGAACGGCCCAGACUCCUACGGGGGCAGCAGUGAGGAAUUUCGUCAAUGGGGGCAACCCUGAACGAGCAACGCCGCGUGCAGGAAGAAGGUUUUCGGAUCGUAAACUGCUUUUCUCGGGGAAGAGAACGGACGGUACCCGAGGAAUCAGCCCCGGACUAACUACGCGCCAGCAGCCGCGGU